UUUCGUACUGACGUCCCUCACGGGGGACCUGCAUUUCAUGCUGCAGGCACAGGUACCUCGUUCCACAAAUGUGUUUGAAUUCAAGAACCCAAUUCAGAUUAAUGAUAAGAUAAUGUACAUGAUCCUAAAAGUGUUUAUGAAGUGUGGUUCACUUCUAUUAUGAUUUAUUCACUUGCGUCUGACUUUCUUGAUCCCCCAUACCGCAUAUAAUUAUUUACAGCUUUAUAUACUCAGACAUAUUUCGUACUGAUGUCCCUCACGGGGGACUUGCAUUUCAUGCUGCAGGCACAGGUGCUUCAGCUCAUUCACAGCAUAGAUAGGAGCCAGGUCAUACAACUAUUGUUGGUGAGCUCCAGUUUGCUUCGGAGCUUUCCGAGUCGGUCCCUUAUGUUUUGUUAUUGUACAGGAGUCAUGUGUGGGCGGGGGUUUGUCCCGACCCUAGUUAUGUCAUGUAUAUCCUAGAGGCUUUGUAGACAUAAGGAAGGG
rnacentral:lncRNA from 1 species